rnacentral:rRNA from 1 species
GUGUCAGCAGCCGCGGUAAUACAGAGAGUGCGAACGUUGUUCGGAAUUACUGGGCUUAAAGCGCACGUAGGCGGUGUCGUAAGUGUCAGGUGAAAUCCCACGGCUCACCCGUGGAACUGCCUGGCAGACUGCGACACUCGAGUGUGGUAGGGGAGAGCGGAACUCCUGGUGGAGCGGUGAAAUGCGUAGAUAUCAGGAGGAACACCGGUGGCGAAGGCGGCUCUCUGGUCCACAACUGACGCUGAGGUGCGAAAGCUAGGGGAGCAAACGGGAUUAGAUACCCCCGUAGUCC